UACGUAGGGUGCUAGCGUUGUUCGGAAUCAUUGGGCGUAAAGCGCGUGUAGGUGGUUAAUAAAGUUGGGUGUGAAAUCCCUCGGCUCAACCGAGGAAGUGCACUCAAAACUAAUUAGCUUGAGAGUGGUAGAGGAAGGUGGAAUUCCUAGUGUAGAGGUGAAAUUCGUAGAUAUUAGGAGGAAUACCGGAGGCGAAGGCGGCCUUCUGGACCAUUUCUGACACUGAGACGCGAAAGCGUGGGUAGCAAACAGG
rnacentral:rRNA from 1 species